rnacentral:rRNA from 1 species
GACAGAGGUGCCGAGCGUUAGGCGGAAUCACUGGGCUUAAAGCGUGUGUAGGCGGCUGAGUAAGUCUGCUCUGAAAGCCCGGGGCUCAACCCCGGGAGGCGGGUGGAUACUGCUCAGCUCGAGUCCGGAAGAGGAGUGUGGAAUUCCUGGUGUAGCGGUGAAAUGCGCAGAUAUCGGGAGGAACAUCAGUGGCGAAAGCGGCACCCUGGCAUUAGCCUGACGCUCAUGUGCGAAAGCGUGGGGAGCGAACGGG